UCGGGGUCAGAGUGGGAGGUGGCAGAUUGGCCCUGCGCUUUGCUUCCCGAGUAAACAGGGGGCUGGCCGGCCUCCCUGCUGCAGCCUCCUGGCCGGCCUCCCCCUGCAGCCUCCGGGCUGGCCUCCCCAGCCCCACUCUGCGCAGUGCCCCCACCCCGCCCACCCCCUCUGACCUCUCCCGGCCCCUCUGGCUGUGGGGACUUCCUUAGUCCUGGCCUGUCCGGGUUUUCAGAGGCCCAAGGGGGUUGCUGGGCAGGCUGCCCUUGAGCCAGCCUGCAGGGGGCUGUUCUGACUGUCCUUGUCAUAGUCAGGGAAGAGGCCUGGGCUCUGGAGGCCGGACCCUGCCGCUCUCUGGCCUCACCCACCUCGGGCCACUGGGGCUGCACCUGCGGCCACCAGGGGAGGAGCCUGCUGCUGAGAAAAAAAAAUGGACCUGUGCUCUACCAACAGUAAAACCCACCCGCUUCAGUGUACGAUUUGGUGACUCAGGCAAACCACACAGCCUGUAACCACCCCCUCAGCUGGGAUUCAGAUCCCACCCGAUCCCUGCGCACCCCGUGGCCAGCAGUCCCUGGCCCUGCACCAGCCCCUGGCCACCACCGGUGGCUCUCCUUCUGCCUUUUUCCAGAGCCCGGUCAGCCCUCUGCAUCUGAGGACUGAAAAUAUUUGGAAAAAAAAAAAAAAAAACUGUCGAUGUCUCUUCUGGUCCUUCUCCCCUCAACAAUACAGCGUGACCACAGUUCACACAGCACCGGCA